rnacentral:misc_RNA from 1 species
AUUAGAGGCAACAUAAAGGGUAUUUUAGUAAUUUUAACAAUUCAGUUUGUUUCGUGAUCUUGUCUAUUUCACACCAAACAUUACGCUGGACAACAAUUGUCUUGUCUUGUCUGGUCCAGUGAUGUCCCAUACACACAUUUUUCACGUCUUGCAUACCAAAAAUGAAAAUUAGGAACUUUGCUCUCAUGGAUAAGUGCCUUAUUCUUUGGAUUACUUGUUAAUCUGAUGGUGUCCUCUGAUUAAUAAUUUGACCUGAACAGUUUUAGUAUGGAGCUUAAUCAGUAUUUUUCUUUUCUCUCUCA